UCAGUCGUAGCGCAGUGGUAAGCGUGCGAUUGUAAACGCGACUGGUUAUGAGUUCGAUCCUCACGACUUAA
rnacentral:tRNA from 1 species